rnacentral:rRNA from 1 species
GACAGAGGGUGCAAACGUUGUUCGGAAUUACUGGGCGUAAAGCGCGUGUAGGCGGCGGCGCAAGUCGGGUGUGAAAGCCCAGGGCUCAACCCUGGAAGUGCACUCGAUACUGCGACGCUAGAGUCCCGGAGAGGUUGGUGGAACUCUCGGUGUAGAGGUGAAAUUCGUAGAUAUCGAGAAGAACACCAAUGGCGAAGGCAGCUCGCUGGGACGUGACUGACGCUGAGACGCGAAAGCGUGGGGAGCAAACAGG